GACGAACGCUGGCGGCGUGCUUAACACAUGCAAGUCGAACGGAAAGGCCCUGCUUUUGUGGGGUGCUCGAGUGGCGAACGGGUGAGUAACACGUGAGUAACCUGCCCUUGACUUUGGGAUAACUUCAGGAAACUGGGGCUAAUACCGGAUAGGAGCUCCUGCUGCAUGGUGGGGGUUGGAAAGUUUCGGCGGUUGGGGAUGGACUCGCGGCUUAUCAGCUUGUUGGUGGGGUAGUGGCUUACCAAGGCUUUGACGGGUAGCCGGCCUGAGAGGGUGACCGGCCACAUUGGGACUGAGAUACGGCCCAGACUCCUACGGGAGGCAGCAGUGGGGAAUAUUGCACAAUGGGCGGAAGCCUGAUGCAGCAACGCCGCGUGCGGGAUGAAGGCCUUCGGGCUGUAAACCGCUUUCGCCUGUGACGAAGCGUGAGUGACGGUAAUGGGUAAAGAAGCACCGGCUAACUACGUG
rnacentral:rRNA from 1 species